CGGACACAAGGACAUCCUUUGGAUUCCUGAUGACGUAGAUCACCGUAAAGGGACAAAACAGCAAAAACAAAAAUCAUUACCGUCUUUCCCACAUGUGAGGCCUUGACCUCUCUUCAGCCAACUGUUUUUUUAACAUUUAUU